GGUGGUGGCUCAGUGGUAGAGCGCUUGCCUAGCAUGUGUGAGGCACUGGGUUCAAUUCUCAGCACUG
rnacentral:tRNA from 1 species